UUCCUUUGAUAUUUAUUCCGG
rnacentral:piRNA from 1 species